GGGUUGUGAGGUUAAGCGACUAAGCGUACACGGUGGAUGCCCUGGCAGUCAGAGGCGAUGAAGGACGUGCUAAUCUGCGAUAAGCGUCGGUAAGGUGAUAUGAACCGUUAUAACCGGCGAUUUCCGAAUGGGGAAACCCAGUGUGUUUCGACACACUAUCAUUAACUGAAUCCAUAGGUUAAUGAGGCGAACCGGGGGAACUGAAACAUCUAAGUACCCCGAGGAAAAGAAAUCAACCGAGAUUCCCCCAGUAGCGGCGAGCGAACGGGGAGGAGCCCAGAGCCUGAAUCAGUGUGUGUGUUAGUGGAAGCGUCUGGAAAGGCGCGCGAUACAGGGUGACAGCCCCGUACACAAAAAUACACAUAUUGUGAGCUCGAUGAGUAGGGCGGGACACGUGGUAUCCUGUCUGAAUAUGGGGGGACCAUCCUCCAAGGCUAAAUACUCCUGACUGACCGAUAGUGAACCAGUACCGUGAGGGAAAGGCGAAAAGAACCCCGGCGAGGGGAGUGAAAAAGAACCUGAAACCGUGUACGUACAAGCAGUGGGAGCACGCUUAGGCGUGUGACUGCGUACCUUUUGUAUAAUGGGUCAGCGACUUAUAUUCUGUAGCAAGGUUAACCGAAUAGGGGAGCCGAAGGGAAACCGAGUCUUAACUGGGCGUUAAGUUGCAGGGUAUAGACCCGAAACCCGGUGAUCUAGCCAUGGGCAGGUUGAAGGUUGGGUAACACUAACUGGAGGACCGAACCGACUAAUGUUGAAAAAUUAGCGGAUGACUUGUGGCUGGGGGUGAAAGGCCAAUCAAACCGGGAGAUAGCUGGUUCUCCCCGAAAGCUAUUUAGGUAGCGCCUCGUGAAUUCAUCUCCGGGGGUAGAGCACUGUUUCGGCAAGGGGGUCAUCCCGACUUACCAACCCGAUGCAAACUGCGAAUACCGGAGAAUGUUAUCACGGGAGACACACGGCGGGUGCUAACGUCCGUCGUGAAGAGGGAAACAACCCAGACCGCCAGCUAAGGUCCCAAAGUCAUGGUUAAGUGGGAAACGAUGUGGGAAGGCCCAGACAGCCAGGAUGUUGGCUUAGAAGCAGCCAUCAUUUAAAGAAAGCGUAAUAGCUCACUGGUCGAGUCGGCCUGCGCGGAAGAUGUAACGGGGCUAAACCAUGCACCGAAGCUGCGGCAGCGACGCUUAUGCGUUGUUGGGUAGGGGAGCGUUCUGUAAGCCUGCGAAGGUGUGCUGUGAGGCAUGCUGGAGGUAUCAGAAGUGCGAAUGCUGACAUAAGUAACGAUAAAGCGGGUGAAAAGCCCGCUCGCCGGAAGACCAAGGGUUCCUGUCCAACGUUAAUCGGGGCAGGGUGAGUCGACCCCUAAGGCGAGGCCGAAAGGCGUAGUCGAUGGGAAACAGGUUAAUAUUCCUGUACUUGGUGUUACUGCGAAGGGGGACGGAGAAGGCUAUGUUGGCCGGGCGACGGUUGUCCCGGUUUAAGCGUGUAGGCUGGUUUUCCAGGCAAAUCCGGAAAAUCAAGGCUGAGGCGUGAUGACGAGGCACUACGGUGCUGAAGCAACAAAUGCCCUGCUUCCAGGAAAAGCCUCUAAGCAUCAGGUAACAUCAAAUCGUACCCCAAACCGACACAGGUGGUCAGGUAGAGAAUACCAAGGCGCUUGAGAGAACUCGGGUGAAGGAACUAGGCAAAAUGGUGCCGUAACUUCGGGAGAAGGCACGCUGAUAUGUAGGUGAAGUCCCUUGCGGAUGGAGCUGAAAUCAGUCGAAGAUACCAGCUGGCUGCAACUGUUUAUUAAAAACACAGCACUGUGCAAACACGAAAGUGGACGUAUACGGUGUGACGCCUGCCCGGUGCCGGAAGGUUAAUUGAUGGGGUCAGCGCAAGCGAAGCUCUUGAUCGAAGCCCCGGUAAACGGCGGCCGUAACUAUAACGGUCCUAAGGUAGCGAAAUUCCUUGUCGGGUAAGUUCCGACCUGCACGAAUGGCGUAAUGAUGGCCAGGCUGUCUCCACCCGAGACUCAGUGAAAUUGAACUCGCUGUGAAGAUGCAGUGUACCCGCGGCAAGACGGAAAGACCCCGUGAACCUUUACUAUAGCUUGACACUGAACAUUGAGCCUUGAUGUGUAGGAUAGGUGGGAGGCUUUGAAGUGUGGACGCCAGUCUGCAUGGAGCCGGCCUUGAAAUACCACCCUUUAAUGUUUGAUGUUCUAACGUGGACCCGUGAUCCGGGUUGCGGACAGUGUCUGGUGGGUAGUUUGACUGGGGCGGUCUCCUCCUAAAGAGUAACGGAGGAGCACGAAGGUUGGCUAAUCCUGGUCGGACAUCAGGAGGUUAGUGCAAUGGCAUAAGCCAGCUUGACUGCGAGCGUGACGGCGCGAGCAGGUGCGAAAGCAGGUCAUAGUGAUCCGGUGGUUCUGAAUGGAAGGGCCAUCGCUCAACGGAUAAAAGGUACUCCGGGGAUAACAGGCUGAUACCGCCCAAGAGUUCAUAUCGACGGCGGUGUUUGGCACCUCGAUGUCGGCUCAUCACAUCCUGGGGCUGAAGUAGGUCCCAAGGGUAUGGCUGUUCGCCAUUUAAAGUGGUACGCGAGCUGGGUUUAGAACGUCGUGAGACAGUUCGGUCCCUAUCUGCCGUGGGCGCUGGAGAACUGAGGGGGGCUGCUCCUAGUACGAGAGGACCGGAGUGGACGCAUCACUGGUGUUCGGGUUGUCAUGCCAAUGGCACUGCCCGGUAGCUAAAUGCGGAAGAGAUAAGUGCUGAAAGCAUCUAAGCACGAAACUUGCCCCGAGAUGAGUUCUCCCUGACCCUUUAAGGGUCCUGAAGGAACGUUGAAGACGACGACGUUGAUAGGCCGGGUGUGUAAGCGCAGCGAUGCGUUGAGCUAACCGGUACUAAUGAACCGUGAGGCUUAACCUUACAACGCCGAAGGUGUUU
rnacentral:rRNA from 1 species